rnacentral:pre_miRNA from 1 species
UCUAUACUUUCUUUCUCCUUCGUUCAUCGGAGAGGGACCUUUCUGUUAAUUUAAUUCAAAAAAACGUUAAGUUUAGGGACCAAACUAAUACUAAUUAAAUAAGCUAAGAGACCAACCUAAUACUAAUUAAAUAAAUUAAGGGACCAAAAUUUAACGUUUUUUUUAAUUAAAUUAACAGAAAGGACUAAACUGAUACUUUAAAUAAUGUUAAGGAACUUAAACGAAACUUUUAUUACUUAUGGGA